rnacentral:rRNA from 1 species
CCUACGGGUGGCAGCAGUGGGGAAUAUUGCACAAUGGGGGGAACCCUGAUGCAGCGACGCCGCGUGAGUGAAGAAGCAUUUCGGUAUGUAAAGCCCUAUCAGCAGGGAAGAAAAUGACGGUACCUGACCAAGAAGCCCCGGCUAACUACGUGCCAGCAGCCGCGGUAAUACGUAGGGGGCAAGCGUUAUCCGGAUUUACUGGGUGUAAAGGGAGCGCAGGCGGUUGGGCAAGUCAGGUGUGAAAGCCCAGGGCCCAACCCCGGGACUGCUUUGGAAACUGCAAUCCUGGAGUGCAGGAGAGGUAAGCGGAAUUCCUAGUGUAGCGGUGAAAUGCGUAGAUAUUAGGAGGAACACCAGUGGCGAAGGCGGCUUACUGGACUGUAACUGACGUUGAGGCUCGAAAGCGUGGGGAGCAAACAGGAUUAGAUACCCGAGUAGUC